GCUUGUGGCAGCCAAGCGUUCA
rnacentral:snRNA from 1 species